AGCAGUAGCCGCGGUAAUACGGAGGGUGCAAGCGUUAAUCGGAAUUACUGGGCGUAAAGCGCACGCAGGCGGUUUGUUAAGUCAGAUGUGAAAUCCACGAGCUUAACUUGGGAACUGCAUUUGAAACUGGCAAGCUAGAGUCUUGUAGAGGGGGGUAGAAUUCCAGGUGUAGCGGUGAAAUGCGUAGAGAUCUGGAGGAAUACCGGUGGCGAAGGCGGCCCCCUGGACAAAGACUGACGCUCAGGUGCGAAAGCGUGGGGAGCAAACAGGAUUAGAUACCCCAGUAGUCCCUGUCUCUUAUAC
rnacentral:rRNA from 1 species